GAUGAACGCUGGCGGCGUGCCUAAUACAUGCAAGUCGAACGCGCCGAGAAGGGAACUUGUUCCUUUCAACGCGAGUGGCGAACGGGUGAGUAACACGUGGGAAACCUACCCUUAAGCGGGGGAUAACCAUCGGAAACGAUGACUAAUACCGCAUAGUUGUCCCAGUCGCAUGACCGGCAUGGGACAGACGGCUUCGGCUGUUACUGGAGGAUGGUCCCGCUGCGCAUUAGCUAGACGGUGGGGUAACGGCCUACCGUGACUUUGAGGAAUAGCCGCCCUCAGAGGGUGAUCGCCGACAUUGGGACUGGGGCACGGCCCGAACUACUGGGGGAGGCACCAGUAGGGAAUCUUCCGCAAUGGACGCAAGUCUGACGGAGCAACGCCGCGUGUGUGAAGAAGGUCUUCGGAUCGUAAAACUCUGUUAUCAGAGAAGAAUAGCCUAUAGAGUAACUGUUAUAAGUUUGACGGUAACUGAUCAGAAAGCCACGGCUAACUACGUG
rnacentral:rRNA from 1 species